rnacentral:rRNA from 1 species
UCGCUGAUGAUAUAAGCUUGAUAUUCGUUCACCUGGCUAACUCCGUGCCAGCAGCCUGCGGUAAUACGGAGGGUGCAAGCUGUUACUCGGAAUCACUGGGCGUAAAGCGCAUGCAGGCGGUUUAUAAAGUCAGAAGUGAAAUCCUACAGCUCAACUGUAGAACUGCUUCUGAAACUCAUGAACUAGAGUCUGGGAGGGGAGAAUGGAAUUAGUAGUGUAGGGGUAAAAUCCGUAGAGAUUACUAGGAAUACCAAAAGCGAAGGCGAUUCUCUGGAACAGUACUGACGCUGAGAUGCGAAAGCGUGGGGAGCAAACAGGAUUAGAUACCCUGGUAGUCCACGCAGUAAACGAUGAAUGUUAGUCGUUGGAGUGCUAGACACUUCAGUGAUGCAGUAACACAUUAAACAUUCCGCCUGGGGGAGUACGGCGCAAAGAUUAAAACUCAAAAGGAAUAGACGGGGACCCGCACAAGUGGUGGAGCAUGUGGUUAAUUCGAAGAUACGCGAAGAACCUUACCUAGCCUUGACAUAUAUUAGAAUUCGUUAGAGAUAAUGAAGUGCCUUCGGGAGCUAAUAUACAGGUGCUGCACGGCUGUCGCAGCUCGUGUCGUGAGAUGUUGGGUUAAGUCCCGCAACGAGCGCAACCCUCGCUUAGUUACUAACGGUCGGCCGAGGACUCUAAGGAGACUGCCUUCGCAAGGAGGAGGAAGGUGAGGACGACGUCAAGUCAUCAUGGCCCUUACGGCUAGGGCAAACACACCGUGGCUACAAAUGGUUAGAGACAAUUGAGAGGCGAAUACCGCGAAGGUGGAGCAAAUCCUAUAAAACCUAAUCUCAGUUCCGGAUAGCAAGCUGCAAACUCGAACUGCUUGAAGCUGGAAUCACCUAAGGAAAUCGGAAAAUUCAAGCUAUUGGUACCGGGGAAAUACCGGUCCCCGGGGGCCUGGGACCUUCAACCGGGCGCGGGACAACCCAUUGGGGGAGGGAUUCACCCCG